GGUAGUUGGUCUGAGAGGAUGAUCAGCAACACUGGGAUUGAGACACUGCCCAGACUCCUACGGGAGGCUGCAGUCGAGAAUCAUUGACAAUGCAUGAAAGUGUGAUCAUGCGACGCCGCGUGGAGGAAGACGGCCUUUGGGUUGUAAACUCCUGUCAGCAGGGAGGAAGGAUGGAUCUCUUAAUACGAGGUUCAUUUGACAGUACCUGCAGAGGAAGUCACGGCUAACUCUGUGCCAGCAGCCGCGGUAAUACAGAGGUGGCGAACGUUGUUCGGAUUUACUGGGCGUAAAGGGUCCGCAGGCGGCUCGGUGUGUCAGAUGUGAAAGUCCACGGCUCAACCGUGGAAUUGCAUUUGAAACUGCCGGGCUAGAGUACUGGAGGGGAGAAGGGAACACUUGGUGUAGCGGUGAAAUGCGUAGAUAUCAAGUGGAACACCGGUGGCGAAGGCGCUUCUCUGGACAGAUACUGACGCUCAUGGACGAAAGUUAGAGUAGCGAAAGGGAUUAGAUACCCCUGUAGUCCUAACCAUAAACGGUGUGCACUAGACGUGGGAGGCUUUACCCCCUUCCGUGUCUGAGCUAACGCAUUAAGUGCACCGCCUGGGGAGUACGGUCGCAAGAUUAAAACUCAAAGGAAUUGACGGGGACCCGCACAAGCGGUGGAGCAUGUGGCUUAAUUCGAUGCAACGCGAAGAACCUUACCUGGGCUUGACAUAUAGCUGCAUACGACCCGAAAGGGACGUAGCCUUCGAGGGUGCUAUACAGGUGCUGCAUGGCUGUCGUCAGCUCGUGCCGUGAGGUGUUGGGUUAAGUCCCGCAACGAGCGCAACCCCUGUGUUUAGUUGCCAGCACGUAAUGGUGGGAACUCUAAACAGACUGCUGGUGAAAACCAGAGGAAGGUGGGGAUGACGUCAAGUCAGUAUGGUCCCUAUGCCCAGGGCUGCACACGUGCUACAAUGGGUGAUACAAUGGGAGGCUAAGCCGCGAGGUGGAGCAAAUCCUCAAAAUCACCCCCAGUUCGGAUUGGAGUCUGAAACUCGACUCCAUGAAGUUGGAAUCGCUAGUAAAGGCGUAUCAGCUACGACGCCUUGAAUACGUUCCCGGGUCUUGUACACACCGCCCGUCACAUCAUGGAAGUCUGUUGCACCCGAAGUUGUUGAUCCAACCUUUUAUUAGGAGGAAGGCACCUAAGGUGUGAUAGGUAACUGGGAUGAAGUCGAAACAAGGUA
rnacentral:rRNA from 1 species